rnacentral:rRNA from 1 species
GGCGAGUGAAGCGGCAAAAGCUCAAAUUUGAAAUCUAGCACCUUCGGUGUUCGAGUUGUAAUUUGAAGAUGGUAACCUUGGGUUUGGCUCUUGUCUAUGUUCCUUGGAACAGGACGUCAUAGAGGGUGAGAAUCCCGUCUGAUGAGAUGCCCAUUCCUAUGUAAGGUGCUAUCGAAGAGUCGAGUUGUUUGGGAAUGCAGCUCUAAGUGGGUGGUAAAUUCCAUCUAAAGCUAAAUAUUGGCGAGAGACCGAUAGCGAACAAGUACAGUGAUGGAAAGAUGAAAAGAACUUUGAAAAGAGAGUGAAAAAGUACGUGAAAUUGUUGAAAGGGAAGGGCAUUAGAUCAGACUUGGUGUUUUACGAUUAUCUUCUCUUCUUGAGUUGUGCACUCGUAUUUCACUGGGCCAGCAUCGAUUCGGAUGGCAAGAUAAUGGCAGUUGAAUGUGGCUUCACUUCGGUGGAGUGUUAUAGCUUCUGCUGAUAUUGCCUGUCUGGAUCGAGGGCUGCGUCUUUUGACUAGGAUGCUGGCGUAAUGAUCUAAUGCCGC